UGAGAGAUGGAGUGACACAGUAGGAUAAGCUAACCGUACUGUUGGUUAUGUACGGCUAAGCAUUGAGGCAGUCUAAAUAGGCAAAUCCGUUUGGACAAUGCUAGGAUGUGAUGGGGAAGCCCUUCGGGGCGAAGUAGCUGAUUUCACACUGUCAAGAAAAGCUUCUAUCGAGUUUAAAGGCCCCGUACCGUAAACCGACACAGGUGGGUGAGGAGAGUAUCCUAAGGCCAGCGAGAGAACUAUUGUUAAGGAACUCGGCAAAAUGACCCCGUAACUUAGGGGGAAGGGGUGCCUGUCUAUGACAGGCCGCAGAGAAUAGGCCCAAGCGACUGUUUACCAAAAACACAGGUUUCUGCUAAGUCGCAAGACGAUGUAUAGGAGCUGACGCCUGCCCGGUGCUGGAAGGUUAAGGGGAUCUGUUAGAGCAAUCGAAGCAGUGAACUUAAGCCCCAGUAAACGGCGGCCGUAACGAUAACGGUCCUAAGGUAGCGAAAUUCCUUGUCGGGUAAGUUCCGACCCGCACGAAAGGCGUAACGAUUUGGGCACUGUCUCAACAAUAGACUCGGUGAAACUGUAAUCCCGGUGAAGAUGCCGGGUACCUGCGACAGGACGGAAAGACCCCAUGGAGCUUUACUGUAGCUUGACGUUGGGUCUUGGUACUACAUGUACAGGAUAGGUGGGAGACUAUGAAGCAUGGACGCCAGUCUGUGUGGAGUCAUUCUUGGGAUACCACCCUUGUAGUACUGGGAUCCUAACCAUAGGCCUUGAAUCAGGUCUUGGAACACCGUCAGGUGGGCAGUUUGACUGGGGCGGUCGCCUUCUAAAAAGUAACGGAGGCGCUCAAAGGUUUCCUCAGCACGGUCGGAAAUCGUGCGAAGAGUGUAAAGGCAAAAGGAAGCUUGAUUGCAAGACAUACAGGUCGAGCAAGGACGAAAGUCGGACUUAGUGAUCCGGUGGUACCGCAUGGAAGGGCCAUCGCUCAACGGAUAAAAGCUACCCUGGGGAUAACAGGCUUAUCUCCCCCAAGAGUCCACAUCGACGGGGAGGUUUGGCACCUCGAUGUCGGCUCAUCACAUCCUGGGGCUGUAGUAGGUCCCAAGGGUUGGGCUGUUCGCCCAUUAAAGUGGUACGCGAGCUGGGUUCAGAACGUCGUGAGACAGUUCGGUCCCUAUCCGUCGCAGGCGUAGGAAAUUUGAGAAGACCUGUCCUUAGUACGAGAGGACCGGGAUGGACGUACCUCUGGUGUACCAGUUGUUCUGCCAAGGGCAUGGCUGGGUAGCUAUGUACGGAAUGGAUAAGCGCUGAAAGCAUCUAAGCGCGAAGCCAACUCCAAGAUAAGAUUUCCCACCGUAAGGGUAAGACCCCAGGAAGACUACCUGGUUGAUAGGUCGAAGGUGUAAGUGCAGUAAUGUAUUUAGCUUAUCGAUACUAAUAGGUCGAGGACUUGAC
rnacentral:rRNA from 1 species